rnacentral:rRNA from 1 species
UUACGGGAGUGGCACAUACACUGUGAUCCGUAAAUAUCCGAAUGGGGCAACCCGGCAUAUUGAAGAUAUGUCACACCGCAAGGUGAGCAAACCCGGAGAACUGAAACAUCUAAGUACCCGGAGGAGAAGAAAACAAAAGUGAUUCCGUAAGUAGCGGCGAGCGAACGCGGAGUAGCCCAAACCAGUGUUGUUACGGCAAUACUGGGGUAAUAGGACCUCGACAUUUGAUGCUUGCAGAACUAGAAUCUACUGGAAAGUAGGACCACAGAGGGUGAUAGUCCCGUAUAGGUAAUAAGAGUAAUUGAUAGAGGUAUCCUGAGUAGUGCGGGGCACGUGAAACCUUGCACGAAUUUGCCGGGACCAUCCGGUAAGGCUAAAUACUCCUGAGAGACCGAUAGUGAACCAGUACCGUGAGGGAAAGGUGAAAAGAACCCUGAAUAAGGGAGUGAAAUAGAUCCUGAAACCAUACGCUUACAAGCGGUCGGAGCAGACAAGAUCUGUGACGGCGUGCCUUUUGCAUAAUGAGCCUACGAGUUACCGUUGCUAGCAUGGUUAAUCGAUUCAGUCGAGGAUCCGUAGCGAAAGCGAGUCUGAAUAGGGCGCUAUAGUUAGCAGUGGUAGACGCGAAACCGAGUGAUCUACCCAUGAGCAGGUUGAAGCUGUAGUAACAUACAGUGGAGGACCGAACCCGUUGACGUUGAAAAGUCUUGGGAUGACUUGUGGGUAGGGGUGAAAGGCCAAUCAAACUCGGAAAUAGCUCGUACUCCCCGAAAUGCAUUUAGGUGCAGCGUUGUAAAAGUUUUAUAGAGGUAGAGCUACUGAUUGGAUGCGGGGGUUUCACCACCUACCAAUUCCUGACAAACUCCGAAUGCUAUAAAAUGAUUUACAGCAGUGAGGGCAUGGGUGCUAAGGUCCAUGUCCGAGAGGGAAACAACCCAGACCAUCAGCUAAGGUCCCAAAGUGUAUACUAAGUUGAAGAAACGCGGUUUGACUGCAUUGACAGCUAGGAUGUUGGCUUGGAAGCAGCCAUUCAUUUAAAGAGUGCGUAACAGCUCACUAGUCGAGCGGUCGAGCAUGGAUAAUAAUCGGGCAUAAGUAUACCACCGAAGCUAUGGCUUCAUACGCAAGUAUGAGGGGUAGGGGAGCAUUCUAUGUGCGUUGAAGAAAGACUGCGAGGUUUUUUGGAGCGCAUAGAAAAGAAAAUGUAGGCAUAAGUAACGACAAUGCGGGCGAGAAACCCGCACACCGAAAGACUAAGGUUUCCUCAGCUAUGCUAAUCAGCUGAGGGUUAGUCGGGACCUAACGCGAACCCGAAAGGGGUAGUGGAUGGACAACCAGUUAAUAUUCUGGUACCUGCCGGCGCUAAACGUGACGGAGUGGAAAAGUUAUUGCGUACUGACGGAAUAGUACGUUGAAGCAAUCGUCAAGAUUGUGAUAGUACACCAAGGCUUCGGCUGCGGUGAUAAUAUAGCAAAUCCACUUCCAAGAAAAGCAAGCCAGGCAGCCCGUACCCCAAACCGACACAGGUAGUUGGGAUGAGAAUUCUAAGGUGCUCGAGAGAUUCAUGGCUAAGGAACUAGGCAAAAUCGACCCGUAACUUCGGGAGAAGGGUCGCCCAUCUUCGGAUGGGCCGCAGUGAAGAGGUCCAGGCGACUGUUUAUCAAAAACACAGGACUCUGCUAAGACGAAAGUCGAUGUAUAGGGUCUGACACCUGCCCGGUGCCGGAAGGUUAAGUGGAGAUGUCAUCUUCGGAGAAGCAUUGAAAUGAAGCCCCGGUAAACGGCGGCCGUAACUAUAACGGUCCUAAGGUAGCGAAAUUCCUUGUCGGGUAAGUUCCGACCUGCACGAAUGGUGUAACGAUCUGGACACUGUCUCAGCCAUGAGCUCGGUGAAAUUGUAGUAUCGGUGAAGAUGCCGAUUACCCGCUACGGGACGAAAAGACC